rnacentral:sRNA from 1 species
UCAGCGUUGCCGCCGAUGGUUCGGCCUCCAC